rnacentral:rRNA from 1 species
GACAGAGGCCUCGAGCGUUAGGCGGAAUCACUGGGCUUAAAGCGUGUGUAGGCGGGAGCGUAAGUACCUUGUGAAAUCCCACGGCUCAACCGUGGAACGGCUGGGUAUACUGGCGGUCUUGGGCCACCUAGGGGUCAUCGGAACAGGCGGUGGAGCGGUGAAAUGCGUAGAUAUCGCCUGGAACGCCGACGGUGAAAACAGAUGACUGGGGGUGUGCCGACGCUGAGACACGAAAGCCAGGGGAGCGAACGGG